rnacentral:rRNA from 1 species
UAAAUCAGUUAUGGUUCACUAGAUCGUACAGUUUACACGGAUAACUGUGGUAAUUCUAGAGCUAAUACGUGCAACCAGCUUACUUCCUUGUGGAGCGAGCGCAGUUAUUAGAACAAAACCAAUCCGGCUCUCGGGUCGGUAAAAUUGGUGACUCUGAAUAACCGAAGCGGAGCGCAUGGUCUCGUACCGGCGCCAGAUCUUUCAAGUGUCUGACUUAUCAGCUUGUUGUUAGGUUAUGUUCCUAACAAGGCUUCAACGGGUAACGGGGUAUCAGGGUCCGAUACCGGAGAGGGAGCCUGAGAAACGGCUACCACAUCCAAGGAAGGCAGCAGGCGCGCAAAUUACCCACUCCCGGCACGGGGAGGUAGUGACGAAAAAUAACGAUGCGAGAGCUCUAAGCUCCUCGUAAUCGGAAUGGGUACACUUUAAAUCCUUUAACGAGGAUCUAUUGGAGGGCAAGUCUGGUGCCAGCAGCCGCGGUAAUUCCAGCUCCAAUAGCGUAUAUUAAAGUUGCUGCGGUUAAAAAGCUCGUAGUUGGAUCUGGGUAGCUGGAUAGAUGGUAUGCUUAACUGUGUUACUGUCUGUUUGGCGCCACAAGCCGGCCAUGUCUUGCAUGCUCUUCACUGGGUGUGCUUGGCGACCGGAACGUUUACUUUGAAAAAAUUAGAGUGCUCAAAGCAGGCGUACGGCCUUGCAUAAUGGUGCAUGGAAUAAUGGAAUAGGACCUCGGUUCUAUUUUGUUGGUUUUCGGAACUCGAGGUAAUGAUUAAUAGGAACAGACGGGGGCAUU